rnacentral:rRNA from 1 species
GAUGAACGCUGGCGGCGUGCCUAACACAUGCAAGUCGAACGGGAAGCUCGUUUUCGGAUGAGUGGAGAGUGGCGCACGGGUGAGUAACACGUAGCUUACCUGCCCUGAAGAGCGGGAUAACGCGCCGAAAGGUGUGCUAAUACCGCAUAAGCUCACGGGAGCUAGAGACCCGUGAGAAAAUGCUCAGGCGCUUCAGGAUGGGGCCGCGGUCCAUCAGCUAGUUGGUGUGGCAACGGCGCACCAAGGCGACGACGGAUAGGGGGCCUGAGAGGGCGACCCCCCACACUGGGACUGAGACACGGUCCAGACUCCUACGGGAGGCAGCAGUGAGGAAUAUUGCGCAAUGGACGAAAGUCUGACGCAGCGACGCCGCGUGGGUGAUGAAGGUCUUCGGAUCGUAAAGCCCUUUUCUGCGUGACGAGAUAGGACGGUAGCGCAGGAAAAAGUGUCGGCUAACUACGUGCCAGCAGCCGCGGUAAAACGUAGGACGCAAGCGUUAUCCGGAAUUACUGGGCGUAAAGCGCGCGCAGGCGGAGGGGAAAGUCAGCUAUGAAAGCUCUCGGCUAAACUGGGAGAGGAUGGUUGAAACU